GACGAACGCUGGCGGCGUGCUUAGCACAUGCAAGUCGAACGGAAAGGCCCUGCUUUUGUGGGGUGCUCGAGUGGCGAACGGGUGAGUAACACGUGAGUAACCUGCCCUUGACUUUGGGAUAACUUCAGGAAACUGGGGCUAAUACCGGAUAGGAGCUCCUGCUGCAUGGUGGGGGUUGGAAAGUUUCGGCGGUUGGGGAUGGACUCGCGGCUUAUCAGCUUGUUGGUGGGGUAGUGGCUUACCAAGGCUUUGACGGGUAGCCGGCCUGAGAGGGUGACCGGCCACAUUGGGACUGAGAUACGGCCCAGACUCCUACGGGGGGCAGCAGUGGGGAAUAUUGCACAAUGGGCGGAAGCCUGAUGCAGCAACGCCGCGUGCGGGAUGACGGCCUUCGGGUUGUAAACCGCUUUCGCCUGUGACGAAGCGUGAGUGACGGUAAUGGGUAAAGAAGCACCGGCUGACUACGUG
rnacentral:rRNA from 1 species